AUACGACCAUAUCACGUUGAAACACCGGUCCUCGUACGAUCACCAAAGUUAAGCAACGUCGUGCCUGGUCAGUAUCUAAACGGAUGACCGCUUGGGAAUAUCAGAUGCUGUAAG